UACGGAGGGUGCGAGCGUUUGUCCGGAUUUAUUGGGUUUAAAGGAUGCGUAGGUGGCGUUGUUAAGUCAGUGGUGAAAUACAGCCGCUCAACGGUUGAGGUGCCAUUGAUACUGACAGCUGAAACAAGUGGAGGUUGCCGGAAUGGAUGGUGUAGCGGUGAAAUGCAUAGAUAUCAUCCAGAACACCGAUUGCGAAGGCAGGUGACUACGUUGAUUUGACACUGAGGCACGAAAGCAUGGGGAGCAAACAGG
rnacentral:rRNA from 1 species